CCCUUAGAUGUUCUGGGCCGCACGCGUGCUACACUGAGUGGAUCAGCGGGCCAGGUUGCGCGAAAGUGUUUCCUAAUCUUGAAAUCCGCUCGUGAUGGGGAUUGACGGUUGCAAUUUUCCGUCAUGAACGAGGAAUACCUUGUAAGCGCGGGUCAUCAUCCCGCGCUGAAUACGUCCCUGCCCUUUGUACACACCGCCCGUCGCUCCUACCGAUUGAGUGGUCCGGUGAGGCUUUGGGAUCUGAGCGGAAAGAGCGUUUCGCUGUUUCUGCUCGGAAAACUCAGUCGAACCUUAUCAUUUAGAGGAAGGAGAAGUCGUAACA
rnacentral:rRNA from 1 species